rnacentral:rRNA from 1 species
CAUAUUUAACCUACGUGUGCGAGGAGGAUAGCAUCCCGAAAGGGGUAUUAAUACUUCAUAGGUUUAUAGCGUUAAAUUAAAGGGCGCUCCCGAAAGGGGGCGCUGCGCAUACAUGGGAAUAUGUCCUAUUAGGUAGUUGGCGGGGUAAAUGCCCACCAAGCCUGUGAUGGGUAGCUGGGCUGAGAGGUUGUACAGCCGCAAUGGGAUUGAGAUAUGGCCCAUAUUCCUACGGGAAGCAGCAGUGAGGAAUUUUUCACAAUGGACGAAAGUCUGAUGGAGCAAUACCACGUGAACGAUGAAUGUCUUCUGAUUGUAAAGUUCUUUUAUUUAGGAUAAAAAGCAUGAUAGGAAAUGAUUAUGCCUUGAUAGUACUAAAUGAAUAAGUGACAGCUAACUAUGUGCCAGCAGCUGCGGUAACACAUAGGUCACGAGCAUUAUCCGGAUUUAUUGGGCGUAAAGGAAGCGUAGGCGGACAGUCUGAUCCAGUGUUAAAUGCAUCUGCUCAACAGAUGUAUGCAUUGGAGAUCACCUGUCUAGAAUUAGUUAGGGGGUACUGGAAUUCAAUGUGGAGCGGUGGAAUGCGU